GGUCCAGUGUGGUGUAGUGGUUAAGAGCGGUAGACUCGUAAUCUGAUGAACUGGGUUCGAUUCCCUGCUCCUUCA
rnacentral:tRNA from 1 species